rnacentral:rRNA from 1 species
AUGAUUGAGAAAGUUGUUCCUGCAAUAAAAGAUGUGUGGCCCUUUGGAGAUGUUGGACAAACAGUCCUCAUCCAACAGGACAAUGCAAGGACACAUAUUUUACCUAAUGAUGUUGAGUUUGCAGAAGCAAUGGCUGAGACCGGUAUGGACAUCAAACUAGUGCAACAACCCCCAAAUUCUCCUGACUUGAACGCUCUUGACCUUGGGUACUUCAAAUCCCUAGAGUCUCUAACGGACUGCAGAGCCCCUACCACCAUCCCCGAACUAACUCAAGGUGUAGAAGAAGAAUUCGAUGACUAUGAAGUUGGAAAACUCAACAGAAUCUUCCUAACACUCCAAACAUGUAUGGUUGAAGUCAUGAAUCAUGCAGGAGGAAAUGCUUACAAAAUUCCACACGUCACCAAACAAAGAUUUGAAAGAGAUGGAAUUCUACUUCCUAGGAUCCAUUUCCCAUGUGAAGUGUACUACAAUGCCUUAGAGAAUCUAGAACAAGAUGAACACUGA